rnacentral:snoRNA from 1 species
AUGUCAAAGUUGGGGCAUUUUAUGAAAAAAUUCUUGAACCUCUCCCAUGCUUCAGGAUAGCUCUCGAGAUCUUUUUGUUUGAAAGUGUAGACUUCAUUCCUAAUUU